AUAAAAUUAAGUUAGCAACAUCCUGUACUGCAGUCCUGCUUACUUUGGGCAGUGAAUGCCUCAGGAAUAUGCUCACAGCACUCUUCCUAGUCAUCAGCAUUCACAUCGUGUCACAUCUUUCUACCCUCAAUAUUCUUGCUGCUGUUUUCCCUGCAGGUUGCUCUGAAAAUGACCAGGACUUUCUUCCAGGUCUUAAAGAACAGGAAGGCCAUUGGCACCCUCACUGCUAGUGGGGACUGGCUUUCUGGCUGCUAGAUUCUUACUCACCAAGAACUAUAUGAAAGCAAGGGCAAAGCAGAGGAAACCGUAACCGCCCCAGUGCAGAAUAUCCUGAUCGCCUAAACCACCAUAGCUACAUGGCAACUUACCUGACCCCUGGCUUGUAUGCCAAACUCCAGAAUAAGUCUAUGUCCAGUGGCUGGACAAUGGAGCAGUGCAUCCAAACCGGAGUAGACAAUCCUGGAGAGCCUUUCGUUGAGUCCUCAGGAAUAAUGGCAGUAGAUGAAGAAUUCUAUGCAGUGAAGUUGGUUCAAUUGGUGAUUGAUGGAGUCAACUUCUUAAUUGAGUGUGAGAAGAAACUCUAAUGUGGGCAAGAUAUCCAAAUCCCACCCCCACUACCCAGAAAUGGCCACCAUUGAUUUGCCCAUCUCGUUAAACACAUUCAGAAUCUAGAAAUCAUCACAUCUACAAAGCAGGCACAAACCUCCUGACCAUGUAAACUAACAAAGUAAUGGUACAUGCAAUCUUUUUGUUAACCUUAUCAAACAACAUGCAUCUUGUACUCAGAUAUGGUAGUUACACG